rnacentral:rRNA from 1 species
AGUGAACGCUGGCGGCGUGCUUAACACAUGCAAGUCGAACGAGAACGGAUUAUAGCUUGCUAUAAUUGUCAGCUAAGUGGCGCACGGGUGAGUAAUAUAUAGAUAACCUGCCCUCUAGAAAGGAACAACAGUUGGAAACGACUGCUAAUGCCCUAUAUGCCUUUAAUACAUAAGUAUGCAAGGGAAACGCUUUAGUGCUUAAGGAUGGGUCUGUAUGGUAUCAGCUUGUUGGUGAGGUAAUGGCUCACCAAGGCUAUGACGCCUAACUGGUUUGAGAGGAUGAUCAGUCACACUGGAACUGAGACACGGUCCAGACUCCUACGGGAGGCAGCAGUGGGGAAUAUUGCACAAUGGACGAGAGUCUGAUGCAGCAACGCCGCGUGGAGGAUGACACAUUUCGGUGCGUAAACUCCUUUUAUAUAGGAAGAUAAUGACGGUACUAUAUGAAUAAGCACCGGCUAACUCCGUGCCAGCAGCCGCAGUAACAC